GAGGAAAAGUCAGUAGUCCUGUGAUAAAGGAGAGAAGUUUGCUGGAAGGUUUUUAUUCUGUCGUUUUCUCCAUGAGGUUUUUGUGAAGUUUCUCUUCUUUUUGUUUUCACAAAGAAGAACGUCAACCCUGACAGGAGCCUUCAUCUGUUCCAGGUUGUUGUGAACCUCUAGAAGCUUCUGAGUCCCAUAGUUGACAGCAGAUGCUGAGUAAAUAUUGGCUUGAAUUUAUUGAGCCCACCACCAGAGAACUCCACAGCCACAUUCAGCGUCCAGUUGGUGCUUGUCUGAGCUUUGGAAGAUCCUCACUGGCAUCGAACCACUGGACAACUCACCUCAGUACUCCUGUCUUCACACUGAAGCGACUCCACCUUUACCAAAUAUCUAAGUCAUCUGUGGUGGAUGCUUCCAUCUUGGCCCAUUCUCCUGAUCUGCUGCUGAAUGUUCAUGGAUUUCACCUCCUCCUGUCCAGUGCUUGACAACAUUAAAGGUUUUCGAGAGUCUAAAGCCAGUCUCCUGACGGGGAUCAUACAGGAAAUGGCUUCCAUGGAUAGACGUUCACAGUCUGUACUCUGCCCUCCCACUGAUCUGCUGACAAGCCCUGUGUAAUCUCCACUUCUUUCACAACUGCAGGCCGCCAACAGUCAGAGACCGUUUCCACCCUGACCUUCCAGUGGCUUGGCCUGAUUUUUUUGGCAAACGAAGUGGCCAAAGAUGGGCCGGAUCCAAUCCCAGCAGGCACUUGGUGAAGGUAGGGUACAACUUGGGCCACAUAUAGAGACAAAGAACCAUAUACACUCACAUCCAUCCCUAUGAUGAAAUGAAUUUCGAUUUAUUGAAGUUUUCUGUUUGUCCUACAUUUUUCUCACGUGGAGUUCUGUUUUGCUGACACCUCUGUCCCCUGUGCAGAGCUCAAAAACUCACUGAACCUGACUUCCCUUCUCUCGGUGUCAGCCCUCGCUCACAUCUGUCCAGGUGUCAUCAUUUCAGGAGGAAUUCAUUCACAAACAUGAAUGUCCACUAUCAUCCCUGCAGCACUCCUCACAAAGACCAACACUCCCUUUGUUGUGUUAUCUCAGAGGCUUGUGAUGCACCUGGCUGCCACUCAGCCUCUCCAUCCUGCAGCUGACGGAUUAUGGUAAUACUUCCUUGAGCCGGUUUGGUUUAACGAGGCCUGCAGUGUGGGACCUUUUUAGAGUUACGUUGUUUAAUCAAUAUGCAACACGUACGUCUUCUUUUCUGAUGUGGGCACAGAUGAGAGCGAUAGAGCUAGAUUUUCCACAGAUGGAAACUGUCACUCAGAGCUUGCCUGGGCAACAGAGCUCGCAUAUCAUAUACAGUAUAUAUAAAGCCUGUUUCUACUGAUACUCAUUACUAUAGAAAAAAUGCGCAGUGUUAAAUGUGGGAUUGUGACUUACUUUUGCGUUUCAUUUUUAUUAAUUCAAUGCUAUUCUAGACAUGUAAAUACCUCCUAUUUCUUUAAAAGAUUCAGGGUCUUGAAGGAAGUUUGUCCUAAUCCUCUCACCCAUGGUGCGAAGGUGGGUUACGACCAGGACAGUCCACCAGGCUAUCGUGGGGUCACAUGACAAACCACUCCACUCAUGCUCACAAACCUUUGGUCAAUUUGGACUGUCCAAUUAAGCUGGUCCUGCUUGUAGGGUGAAAGCAGAGGACACUGAGAACCCAUGCACAGAAUGGGGAAAUUUAGACAAUAAUCAGUUAUCACUGGGAUCGAAAUGUUAGUAGUUUUUCUGUAAGGCAAUCUAACUAGCCACACUUUUACCUUGUGGCCAUUUUAGACAUUACAUAAGCAAAAAACUUCUCUCCUGCAUAUUUUACGGGUACACGCAGUUUUUGUCAGGUGUCCUGCUUGCUGUUUUGUAGUCAAAUUGCGUACCUACACCUGAGUUAGACUGACAGCUUCAAGUAGUGUCCUGCAAAAAUAUUCCAUGUCCAGACCUGGUCCAGUUUGAAGUCAUGAUUGAAAGGGAAAAAAGAAAUUUUAACUUGUCUAUUUCCAAAACAUAAUUUAAAGGUACACUGUGUAAUUGUUAGGGAUGUACACUUUAUUUCACGAAGAUUUGGGCUACAAUGGUGUCUAUGUUUUGUUUGAGCGCGGAUGGAUCUAAAAAUGUGAUAGUGUACCUUUGAACAUGAUGUUCUGCAGGUUUAUUGUGCAUUAUUGUGUUAAUGCAUCCCCGCCUGUUUCUAAAUAGUAUAAAUCGUCUCUGUCUGAGG